rnacentral:rRNA from 1 species
CAAUAGCGUAUACUAACGUUGUUGCAGUUAAAAAGCUCGUAGUUGGAUUUGUGGCGGCAGUUGCGGUCCGUACUUUUUCGGUACUGUCGACUGCUGCCAUCCUUGGGUGGAUGCUGUGUGGCAUUAGGUUGUCGUGCAGUGGAUACCCAUCGUUUACUGUGAGAAAAUUAGAGUGUUCAAAGCAGGCUUAAGCCGUUGAAUAUAUUAGCAUGGAAUAAUGAGAUAGGACCCUGGUACUAUUUUGUUGGUUUGCGUGCCAAGGUAAUGAUUAAUAGGGACAGUUGGGGGUAUUCGUAUUCCAUUGUCAGAGGUGAAAUUCUUGGAUUUCUGGAAGACGAACUACUGCGAAAGCAUUUACCAAGGAUGUUUNCAUUA